rnacentral:rRNA from 1 species
UACGAAGGGGGCUAGCGUUGCUCGGAAUCACUGGGCGUAAAGCGCGCGUAGGCGGAUUGCUAAGUCAGGGGUGAAAUCCUGGAGCUCAACUCCAGAACUGCCUUUGAUACUGAAGAUCUUGAGUUCGGGAGAGGUGAGUGGAACUGCGAGUGUAGAGGUGAAAUUCGUAGAUAUUCGCAAGAACACCAGUGGCGAAGGCGGCUCACUGGUCCGGUACUGACGCUGAGGUGCGAAAGCGUGGGGAGCAAACAGG